AACCCUGAUCCAGCAAUGCCGCGUGUGUGAAGAAGGCCUGAGGGUUGUAAAGCACUUUCAGUGGGGAGGAGGGUUUAUAGGUUAAGAGCUAAUAAAUUGGACGUUACCCACAGAAGAAGCACCGGCUAACUCCGUGCCAGCAGCCGCGGUAAUACGGAGGGUGCGAGCGUUAAUCGGAAUUACUGGGCGUAAAGGGUGCGUAGGUGGUUUGGUAAGUUAUCUGUGAAAU
rnacentral:rRNA from 1 species